rnacentral:rRNA from 1 species
CAAGUCGAGCGGUAGCACAGAGAGCUUGCUCUCGGGUGACGAGCGGCGGACGGGUGAGUAAUGUCUGGGAAACUGCCUGAUGGAGGGGGAUAACUACUGGAAACGGUAGCUAAUACCGCAUAAUGUCGCAAGACCAAAGUGGGGGACCUUCGGGCCUCAUGCCAUCAGAUGUGCCCAGAUGGGAUUAGCUAGUAGGUGGGGUAACGGCUCACCUAGGCGACGAUCCCUAGCUGGUCUGAGAGGAUGACCAGCCACACUGGAACUGAGACACGGUCCAGACUCCUACGGGAGGCAGCAGUGGGGAAUAUUGCACAAUGGGCGCAAGCCUGAUGCAGCCAUGCCGCGUGUGUGAAGAAGGCCUUCGGGUUGUAAAGCACUUUCAGCGGGGAGGAAGGCGUUAAGGUUAAUAACCUUGGCGAUUGACGUUACCCGCAGAAGAAGCACCGGCUAACUCCGUGCCAGCAGCCGCGGUAAUACGGAGGG